CCUACGGGUGGCAGCAGUGGGGAAUAUUGCACAAUGGGGGAAACCCUGAUGCAGCGACGCCGCGUGAGUGAAGAAGUAUUUCGGUAUGUAAAGCUCUAUCAGCAGGGAAGAAGAAUGACGGUACCUGACUAAGACGCCCCGGCUAACUACGUGCCAGCAGCCUCGGUACUACGUAGGGGGCAAGCGUUAUCCGGAUUUACGGGGUGUAAAGGGAGCGUAGACGGCAGCGCAAGUCUGGAGUGAAAUGCCGGGGCCCAACCCCGGAACUGCGCUUGAAACUGUGAAGCUGGAGUGCAGGAGAGGUAGGCGGAAUGCGUGGUGUAGCGGUGAAAUGCGUAGAUAUCAGGAGGAACACCGGCGGCGAAGGCGGCUUACUGGACUGUAACUGACGUUGAGGCUCGAAGGCGUGGGGAGCAAACAGGAUUAGAUACCCGAGUAGUC
rnacentral:rRNA from 1 species